rnacentral:rRNA from 1 species
UACGAGGGGGGCAAGCGUUGUUCGGAAUUAUUGGGCGUAAAGGGUGCGUAGGCGGUCUGAUAAGUCAUCUGUGAAAUCUAUGGGCUCAACCCAUAGUCUGCAGGCGAAACUGUCGGGCUUGAGUAUGGGAGAGGUGAGUGGAAUUUCCGGUGUAGCGGUGGAAUGCGCAGAUAUCAGGAGGAACACCGAUGGCGAAGGCAGAUCUCUGGGCCGUAACUGACGCUGAGGAGCGAAAGCAUGAGAAGCGAACAGG